ensembl:misc_RNA Metazoa_SRP Metazoan signal recognition particle RNA
GCGGUGGGGCACCUGUAGUCCCAGCUACUCGGGAGGCUGAGACAGGAGGAUCGCUUGAGUCCAGGAGUUCUGGGCUGUAGUGCGCUAUGCUGAUCGGGUGUCUGCACUAAGUUCAGCAUCAAUAUGGUGACCUCCCGGGGGGGGGGGCACCAGGUUGCCUAAGGAGGGGUGAACCGGCCCAGGUCGGAAACAGAGCAGGUCAAAACUCCCGUGCUGAUCUCUUCUUAUUUUUCAUUCGUUUCCAUUUUUCCUGGAUUAAUAUAUGCAGCAAGUACCUUUCAUU